rnacentral:lncRNA from 1 species
GACGAUUAUGCUUGUGGGUAGGGAUUUGAUGAGGAUUGUUAUGUUGGUAAAAAUUCUCAAUUUCUUGUUGAUAGAAAUUCUCCACUAGAAGUAAGAGUAAUGUAGGGGUGAGGAAUUGGAGGAAUUCGCAUAUUUUAUUUUUAUUUUUAUUUAGUUCAUUUUAAUUUUAAAUUUUUCCACGUUGGCUUGCUGAGGUGACCUUUGCCACUUAGCCACUGAGUACAAGACUGAUCCAUGUAGGACUUUCUGCCACCGUAGCAUUACGGAGAUGGACAGAAUCUCACAUUAUGACAUAUGGGGCUAUUUUUUGAAUAGGUGAUGAUGCAUAACUUAUAGUGAAAAAAA